UCUAACCUACGGGGGGCAGCAGUAGGGAAUAUUGCUCAAUGGGGGAAACCCUGAAGCAGCAACGCCGUGUGGAGGAUGAAGGUUUUCGGAUUGUAAACUCCUUUUGUUAGAGAAGAUAAUGACGGUAUCUAACGAAUAAGCACCGGCUAACUCCGUGCCAGCAGCCGCGGUAAUACGGAGGGUGCAAGCGUUACUCGGAAUCACUGUGCGUAAAGAGCGCGCAGGCGGGAUAGCAAGUCAGAUGUGAAAUCCCAUGGCUUAACCAUAGAACUGCAUUUGAAACUGUUAUUCUAGAGCAUGGGAGG
rnacentral:rRNA from 1 species